AAAUAUUAAAAUAAUUACAAUAUAUCUUAAAUAAAUUUUAACUAAGUUUUAAUUUAAUCCUAGUUGAAACACUAAUAGACUUCAAUCAAAUCUUAGACAAACUCUAAAUCCUAAAUCAAAUCCUAGAAAAAUCUUAAUCAAUCCUAAAUCCUAAAUUAAACCCUAAUCAAAUCUUAAACCCUAAAAUAAAUCCUAAUCAAUCCUAAGGUAGUUUAGAACCUUGAUAUCUUUUGAUUAAACUAUUGAUCUUAUUUAAAAUUUUACAUACCUAUCAAUCUCUUAGUUAUUAAUAAAUACAACAAAUUUUAGGACAAUUGCACUUACUAAAUAGAAGAAAAAUCCUAAAAUCUGUUGAGAUGUUGGCUAGCCUUUGUCUCCAAUCUUAAUGCUAAUCUUUCAUUACUAAUAUUUUUUUUUUGCAUUGUUAUAUUGAUAUCAAAUUUCUCAUAUGUAUUGAAAAACAAGUCUGUUAUCUACAUAAAAAAAUUUUACUCCAAUCCAACUAGAAAAUUGUAAGAAAUCUUAGAAAUCCUUAUUAGACCUAAAAUUCUACUUUUCGAGACCCUCACCCACUUAAACCUCAAUAAUCCUCAAUUCAACCAUUAGAUCAAGCUAAAAUUUUCAUCAUGUAUUAAGCUCAACUAU
rnacentral:lncRNA from 1 species